CGCACCUUGCGCUCCUUGGCAUUCCGAGGAGCAUGCCUGUUUGAGUGUCAUUAAAUUAUCAACUAUACCUGCUUUCACGAGUUUUGGUAAUGGCUUGGAUGUGGGGGAUAUUGCUGGCUUCGUCGAGAAGUUUGCUCCCCUCAAAUGUAUUAGCCGGUGCCCCGUGUGGAAUCGUCUAUUGGUGUGAUAAUUAUCUACGCCCUGGACAUCCGCUUUAAUGGGUUGUGCUGCUUCUAAUCGUCUAUCAAGUUAGACAAUUAAUGACAAUUUGACCUCAAAUCAGGUAGGACUACCCGCUGAACUUAA
rnacentral:misc_RNA from 1 species